UACGGAGGGUGCGAGCGUUAUUCGGAAUUACUGGGCGUAAAGCGCGUGUAGGCGGGGAGGUAAGUCUGAUGUGAAAGCCCUGGGCUCAACCUGGGAAGUGCAUUGGAAACUGCCUUUCUUGAGUACUGGAGAGGAAGGGGGAAUUCCCGGUGUAGAGGUGAAAUUCGUAGAGAUCGGGAGGAAUACCAGUGGCGAAGGCGCCCUUCUGGACGGUUACUGACGCUGAGACGCGAAAGCGUGGGGAGCAAACAGG
rnacentral:rRNA from 2 species